UGCAAGUCGUGCGCGUGAAGCGGACAAACGCCCUUCGGGGCGUGCGUUUGUGGAUCGAGCGGCGGACGGGUGCGUAACACGUGGGCAACCUGCCGGCAAGACCGGGAUAACGCCGGGAAACCGGCGCUAAUACCGGAUGAAGCCGGCCAUCGCCUGAUGGCCGGACCAAAGGCGGCUCAUGGAGCUGUCACUUGCCGAGGGGCCCGCGGCGCAUUAGUUAGUUGGUGGGGUAACGGCUCACCAAGGCGACGAUGCGUAGCCGACCUGAGAGGGUGAUCGGCCACACUGGGACUGAGACACGGCCCAGACUCCUACGGGAGGCAGCAGUAGGGAAUCUUCCGCAAUGGACGCAAGUCUGACGGAGCAAUGCCGCGUGAGUGAUGAAGGUUUUCGGAUCGUAAAGCUCUGUUGUCAGGGAAGAACCGGUUUCGCUCUAACAGGGCGAAGCCCUGACGGUACCUGACCAGAAAGCCCCGGCUAACUACGUGCCAGCAGCCGCGGUAAUACGUAGGGGGCAAGCGUUGUCCGGAAUUAUUGGGCGUAAAGCGCACGCAGGCGGUCCUUUAAGUCUGAUGUGAAAUCUUGUGGCUCAACCACAAGCUGCCAUUGGAAACUGGGGGACUUGAGUACAGAAGAGGAGAGUGGAAUUCCACGUGUAGCGGUGAAAUGCGUAGAGAUGUGGAGGAACACCAGUGGCGAAGGCGACUCUCUGGUCUGUAACUGACGCUGAGGUGCGAAAGCGUGGGUAGCAAACAGGAUUAGAUACCCUGGUAGUCCACGCCGUAAACGAUGAGUGCUAGGUGUCAA
rnacentral:rRNA from 1 species